GACGAACGCUGGCGGCGUGCUUAACACAUGCAAGUCGAACGAUGAAGCCUAGCUUGCUAGGUGGAUUAGUGGCGAACGGGUGAGUAAUACGUGAGUGACCUACCUUUGACUCUGGGAUAAGCCUGGGAAACUGGGUCUAAUACCGGAUACGACCAAUCUCCGCAUGGGGUGUUGGUGGAAAGCGUUAUGGAGUGGUUUUAGAUGGGCUCACGGCCUAUCAGCUUGUUGGUGAGGUAAUGGCUUACCAAGGCGACGACGGGUAGCCGGCCUGAGAGGGUGACCGGCCACACUGGGACUGAGACACGGCCCAGACUCCUACGGGAGGCAGCAGUGGGGAAUAUUGCACAAUGGGCGCAAGCCUGAUGCAGCGACGCCGCGUGAGGGAUGACGGCCUUCGGGUUGUAAACCUCUGUUAGCAUCGAAGAAGCGAAAGUGGCGGUAGGUGCAGAGAAAGCGCCGGCUAACUACGUG
rnacentral:rRNA from 1 species